GUAAAUGUCUGUGUCUGUCGGUGAGACAGAGGACGUGGGCGCCCGCCGAAGUACGUGUGCGCGCGCGCGCGUUUGCAGGAAAACGUGCAUGGAUUUCUUCGGUGUGGCAGUGUGAGAAGGCGCCUAGGCGCUGUCCGUAGUGCUGAAAUGGUGCGUGGUGAGACCUGGCUCCCAAACACAAGCUAGAAGACAACCAAACAGCAACCAGGAAACGCUCUGAAAAAGCCCUAGAUAGCUGCCAGGUGAUGCCAGAGAUUACUAGUUUUGGGGCCAAUUAAAGUAGCAAGAUGCAGCCAGCAGUGGUGGCUCAUGUCUGUAAUCCUAGCACUCUGGGAGGCCGAGGUAGGAGGAUAACCUGAGGCCCAGCUCAAGGGAGCAGAACUAAAGUUACAUGAUUCUGCUGUGGAUGUAUGAGCUCCACUCCAAUAAUUUAUUAUCAUGGUUGGAGACUUUGACUUGUCACUUUAUGACUUGAAAUAUGGCU
rnacentral:lncRNA from 1 species